rnacentral:rRNA from 1 species
AACCCUCACUGUUAGUUGCCAGCGGGUCAAGCCGGGAACUCUAACGGGACUGCCACCGUAAGGUGAGAGGAAGGUGGGGAUGACGUCAAAUCAGCACGGCCCUUAUGUCCAGGGCUACACACGUGUUACAAUGGUCGGUACAAAGGGCAGCUACACCGCGAGGUGAUGCUAAUCUCUAAAGCCGGUCUCAGUUCGGAUCGAAGUCUGCAACCCGACUUCGUGAAGUUGGAUUCGCUAGUAAUCGCGCAUCAGCCAUGGCGCGGUGAAUACGUUCCCGGGCCUU